rnacentral:tRNA from 1 species
CCCCUGGUGGCUCAGACGGUAAAGCAUCUGCCUGCAAUGCGGGAGACCCGGGUUCGAUGCCUGGGUCGGGAGG